rnacentral:rRNA from 1 species
AGCAGCAGCCACGGUAAUACGAAGGGUGCAAGCGUUACUCGGAAUUACUGGGCGUAAAGCGUGCGUAGGUGGUGGUUUAAGUCCGUUGUGAAAGCCCUGGGCUUAACCUGGGAAUUGCAGUGGAUACUGGGUCACUAGAGUGUGGUAGAGGAUAGUGGAAUUUCCGGUGUAGCAGUGAAAUGCGUAGAGAUCGGAAGGAACAUCUGUGGCGAAGGCGACUAUCUGGGCCAACACUGACACUGAGGCACGAAAGCGUGGGGAGCAAACAGGAUUAGAUACCCGAGUAGUCCCUGUCUCUUAUAC